rnacentral:tRNA from 1 species
GCCCAGAUGGCGGAAUUGGCAGACGCAGAGGACUCAAAAUCCUCCGACCGCAAGGUCUUGUGGGUUCGACCCCCACUCUGGGCA